GAUGAACGCUGGCGGCGUGCCUAAUACAUGCAAGUCGAGCGAACAGAUGAGGAGCUUGCUCCUCUGACGUUAGCGGCGGACGGGUGAGUAACACGUGGAUAACCUACCUAUAAGACUGGGAUAACUUCGGGAAACCGGAGCUAAUACCGGAUAAUAUAUUGAACCGCAUGGUUCAAUAGUGAAAGACGGUUUUGCUGUCACUUAUAGAUGGAUCCGCGCCGCAUUAGCUAGUUGGUAAGGUAACGGCUUACCAAGGCAACGAUGCGUAGCCGACCUGAGAGGGUGAUCGGCCACACUGGAACUGAGACACGGUCCAGACUCCUACGGGAGGCAGCAGUAGGGAAUCUUCCGAAAUGGGCGAAAGCCUGACGGAGCAACGCCGCGUGAUUGAUGAAGGUCUUCGGAUCGUAAAACUCUGUUAUUAGGGAAGAACAAAUGUGUAAGUAACUAUGCACGUCUUGACGGUACCUAAUCAGAAAGCCACGGCUAACUACGUG
rnacentral:rRNA from 1 species